rnacentral:rRNA from 1 species
UUAUUGGGCGUAAAGCGUUUCGUAGGCGACUAGGUAAGUUAUCUUUCAAAGACCACGGCUUAACCGGGGGAAGGGAGGUAAUACUGCCAGGUUUGACUUCCGGUGGGGCUUCCGGAACUGAUGGUGUAGUAGUGAAAUACGUUGAUAUCAUCAGGAACUCCGAGGGCGAAGGCAGGAAGCUAACCAUUUUUUGACACUGAGGAACGACAGCUAGGGGAGCGAA